UUCCUCCUCCUCCUCCUCCUCCUCCUCCUCCUUUCAUAUCACAACUCCCCUCUUCUCCUUCCUGAUCCAAACCAACACUUCUCCCCUCCUCCUCCUCCUCCCCUCUCUUCAUCAUCCUCGUUAUCAGAAACUCUUUUUCCGGUGUUUGUGUGUGUGUGUGUGUGUGUGUGUGUGUGUGUGUGUGUGUGUAAUUAAAGGCCACGCACGCAGGUAAGUCAGGUAAACACGGGAAUUGUCUGCCCAAACCGCUGAAUUGGGUAAAAUUAUGCCGCCCCGAACGCUAAGAAUAGGAAGGAUAGAGAAGGCUGUGGAGGAGGAGGGAGACGGAAGCGGGGUAACCUUAUGCUGUUAUUUGCCUUAGAAAAUGCCGGCUGUUCUUUAUUCAUUAGGGAAAGGCGAGGAGGAGAAUUAACACAAGAAAAAGGAAAGUUAGAGAAAGAGAAAGUACAAGGAAAGGUUUUAGAAGAAGGUGGGUUUUGUGGGGUAACCUUAAGCUGUUAUUUGCCUUAGAAGAUGACUGCUAUUGUUUAUGCAUUAAGGAAAGGCGAGGAGGAGAAUUAACACAAGAAGAAGGAAAGCUAGAGAAAGAGAAAGUACAAGGAAAGGUUUUAGAAGAAGGUGGGUUUUGUGGGGUAAUCUUAAGCUGUUAUUUGCCUUAGAAAAUGCCGGCUGUUCUUUAUUCAUUAGGGAAAGGCGAGGAGGAGAAUUAACACAAGAAAAA